UUUAAGCUUAUUCCAACUCUCAGUUUCCUCAGAUCAUAGAUGAAGAAACUGAGGCACAGAGAGGCCGAAUCCACUGUCAAAGGUCCGGUAGCUGGAGGAGGCAGCGCCCCUCACAUCCAUUAGUCAGACCAGCCACAGGGCACAUCUACUUGCAGGGAGGCCCAGCAACAAGGUCUGGAGUCUCGGAGGCCACAUGCCUAGCAAGACACCAAGUGCUCUGUUAGUGUUGAAGCGGGGUGGAUGGCAUUGGAAGAUGGCUGGUCAUCCCCGUCACAGCUCACAGCCCGUCAUUCACAGACCAAGCUCCCCUGGCUUGACUCGCUGCCAUGUCACACGUCCCCAGGAUGUGCUGUGCCUUUGCUGGGACCUACAGUUCUGUUGGGAAUCUCUUUGGUGUCAUGGUCCCAACUGAGGCUGUGAGAGGAAAGAUGUCCUGUGACACCUGCUGCCCUCAGGGCCUCUUCCUCCUUCCCUUAGACGCAGGCCAGCUGGAACAUCCCCAGGCGUUCUGUCCUGGAUCAAGCAAGAGGAAGGGGCAAGUGGGAGGAGCCAGCAGGGCCCACAGGAGACCACUGUGGCACACCUGUGCUCAGAGACCUGUCUGGGCCGCAGAGAGAAG
rnacentral:lncRNA from 1 species